UGUGAGAAAAUAUCGCGGAUUAUACGAAAUUGUUGAUUGGAUUGAGAUUAAACGAGUUGAAAAAUACGUAAUUUUGGGGAAAUUUAAGAAAGAAUGGUGGCCACAACAGGACUUGAACCUGUGACCACUACCA
rnacentral:antisense_RNA from 1 species